rnacentral:misc_RNA from 1 species
AACGCACAUUGCGCUUCCUGGUAUUCCGGGGAGCAUGCUCGUUUCAGAAUCAUUAAAAUCUCACAAAUCCGUUUGGCUAAACCCUCUCGGCCGCGUGCAAUUGAGCCAUUUCUGCCUUUCGUUAACAGGAAAGUCAGUGGCACCAAAAUGAUAGUGCGUAUGCCCACGUUAACAUGACCGAGGGAACACAUCUGAGCAACAAGAAAUUCUUCCUCUUUUGUCUUUUCUACCUCGGCUCAAGUUGCGAGUGUGUGCAGCACCUCCUUACAAUACUACAGUCUCAGUGACAAGUACUUGUCGCUGACUCUGAUGUUUUGGUCUGAAAUCGAGCAAGAAAACCCGCUGAACUUAA